rnacentral:tRNA from 1 species
UGGCCCAUCGCCAAAUGGUAAGGCACUGGACUCUGACUCCAGCAUUGUCAAGGUUCGAAUCCUUGUGGGCCAG